UGUACCGCACAACAUAUUGUGCAAGUGAGCUGUUGAAUCUAGGCAUACCAGGAUCAGGAUGGCCGAACUGGAGUACAUUUUAAAAGAUUUCGGGGAGGAAAUCAUUCAGAUUUUGAAAGGAGCAUUUCUUCUCAGAAAAUGAAGGAUUCAUUGAGUACAGAUUCAAGAAUAUGAGGCAGAAUGACAAACAGGGUAAGAAGAGGAAGCAUGCCAAAUCAGAUGAUCACAAACAAGAAGAUGUGAUAGUGGAUGAGGAAUUACUUCAAGAUGAAGAAUUACAAGAAAUGGUUAACUGGAUGAAGCACACAGUUCCCACUGCAGCAAAUAAGGGGAAAAUUAUCCAAUUUUUCAAAGACACUGCUGCUUAUCGUCAAAUGAUGCUGAAGAAGAGGACAGACAUGACCAUUUCAGACUUCAUCACCACCUUUCCAAGGAUACAAGAGAUGCCAGAACUUAUCAACAUGGACUUUGAAACAGAACAUGGGCACCUUUCUGACAAUUUUAUUUCAAAGUGGGAGUCGUUCUACCGAGACCGUAUCAUAAAAUUAGGUUUGAGCUGGUAUCCAGCGGUAAAAGAAUCAAUUCAACAGUUUGAGAAAG